CAAAGGCUUGGUCCUGACUUUAUUAUCAACUUUAGCCAAAUUUACACAUGCAAGUAUCCGCCCCCCUGUGAGAAUGCCCAACAGUUCCCCGCCCGGGAACAAGGAGCUGGUAUCAGGCACACUCCCCCCAUAAAGCCCACGACACCUUGCUUAGCCACACCCCCAAGGGACCUCAGCAGUGAUAAACAUUAAGCCAUGAGUGAAAACUCGACUUAGUUAAAGCUAAGAGGGCCGGUAAAACUCGUGCCAGCCACCGCGGUUAUACGAGAGGCCCAAGUUGACAAACACCGGCGUAAAGCGUGGUUAAGUUGAAACUCACACUAAAGCCAAACACCCUCAAAGCUGUUAUACGCACCCGAGGGCAGGAAGUUCAACCACGAAGGUGGCUUUAUUUAAUCUGACUCCACGAAAGCUAGGAAACAAACUGGGAUUAGAUACCCCACUAUGCCUAGCCAUAAACAUUGAUAGUAUUCUACACCCACUAUCCGCCCGGGAACUACGAGCAAUAGCUUAAAACCCAAAGGACUUGGCGGUGCUUUAGAUCCACCUAGAGGAGCCUGUUCUAGAACCGAUAACCCCCGUUCAACCUCACCCCUCCUUGUUUAACCCGCCUAUAUACCGCCGUCGUCAGCUUACCCUGUGAGGGUCUAAUAGUAAGCAAGACUGGUACAACCCAAAACGUCAGGUCGAGGUGUAGCGUAUGGAGGGGGAAGAAUAUGGGCUACAUUCGCUACCACAGCGAACACGAAUGAUCGGGCUGAAACGCCCAUCUGAAGGAGGAUUUAGCAGUAAGCAGGAAAUAGAGCGUCCCGCUGAAACUGGCCCUGAAGCGCGCACACACCGCCCGUCACUCUCCCCAAAAACACCCGCCAUUUAAGUAAAACCUAAAAAUCAAAAAGGGGAGGCAAGUCGUAACAUGGUAAGUGUACCGGAAGGUGCACUUGGUAAAAU
rnacentral:ncRNA from 1 species